rnacentral:misc_RNA from 1 species
CGUUUCCUACGAGGCUGCUGCACGCACUUCUUCCGCUCCUCGCUCCCACCCAGCGAAUACUAGAAAGCGUCUUGGGUCUUUCCCGCUUUCUUUCUCCAUCUGUGUUGGUCUCUUCUUCCCUUCCCGUCCCCUUAUAUUCCCCUCGUAAUACCCGACCACACAAAAUGUCGCAGCCGGUGAGAUCCGCUCCACUGUCUGUCCCGACGCCAGCCCCCACGAAGGUCGCCAUGCUGCCUUCGCAGCCGCGCCCGCGUCUUACUGGUCUGCCACCCGGUACGGCGUUUGUGAAGACCGCGCUGGCAGUGCCUCCGGCAACCAUGCCGCGCCAGCAUUCCACCACCGCAGAGAUGUCGCUGCUGCACUCGCUGUCCGCAUCCAAGGCAGCCGCGAGCCCAAAGCCGCCUCCGCCGCUUCCAUCGGUGCCAGCGAACAGCUGGUAUGCUCAGCCGUUCGUCGAGCGGCCUGGUACACCAAUGUCCACUUUCCAUCGGAACCACCGCGGCAAGAUCAUCUUCUCGCCUCGUCCCGUACCGGUCGAGGAGGCGGAACUGCUAGCGCUACCUGGACAGGAGCCGCGGACCUUGACCAUCUGCGAGGUGGGCAAAGACCUUCUCUACGGAAUGGCCUACCUCUAUGCCGUGCCGCUUGCCAUUGAGCAUCAGUGGCGCGGCCGCGUCGCGUACCUUCAGCAAGUGCGGCGGCAUCAGGCUCCGAUACCGGACAUCGUGCUCCGAAGUGUUCAGGGACGCACGGCGCUACAGCGACAGCAUCAGGCGCAGGAGGGUCUCAAAGCAUCAGUACCGCUGUCUUCGUCUUCGCCGACGUCGCCAGCUCCAGCUGCCUCGGCACUGGCGCCGGUGGAGUACAGCAACAUCAUGCGCUUCGAGCGUGGCGAGGCUGCUGUGUAUGACCGUCCUGCCGACGACUUUCUGAUUGGCAUAAAGGUUUUCGUGAGCGAGGAGCUUGUGGAGGAUCACUACCCCGACGUGCACGCGCUCCCUCAGUGCACGGCGACCAUCACCGCCAAAGAGGCCGCACAGCUCUGGAGCUGCGUUCCCUUUGUCUUGAUCGGCUACCUCAACCAGGCGCUCCUGGACCCCAUCUCUCUCUUCCACACCCUCUCCUUGAGCUUUGUGGAGCACCUCCUGCGGGUGAAGCUGCCUGGCCGUGGCCCCGCUGGCCCCGCAGAGGAGCGCGCCAAGGCAACGUCGACGCGGCCUUCAUCCUCUGCGGCCGCCCCCUCGCAGCCCACCAAAGCUGCGCUACUGGAGCUGCCUUUGCGGGUGGAAGUGGUGUACGGUUGCCGCGCGGAGGCGUUCUACUGCACGGACUUCAUCUCGCGCGGCCGCUGCGUUUUGCGCAUGACAGAGGCCUCCAAACCGUCGUUGAAGAGUUAUGAGGAGAAGUUGCGUGCACUCGUCAAGGCACGCCAUAGGGCGCCCCAGUUAAUCCCCCGUCCCGCGAGCGGUCUUCCACCACCGCGCGCGUGUGCCGGAUGCGGCUAUCCCUUGCAGUUUCGCUGCAGUUUCUGCGGCGCCGAGGUAUGCGGGAGCUCGGUAUGCGCCUUGAGCGCUGUCAUCGGCUACCCGCGCGCCUGCACGCGACACGUGCUACAACGCUGAGCAGCAGGGGACGAAACUAGAAUCCUGGGUCCAGUGUGUGUGCCCAGAAGUAUGGCCAGUGUACAAUUUGCGAGGUCCGCAACAGUUCCCGGUAGCGUGCACGGCAGCGCGACCUUCGAUAAGCGUCGUGCUAUACAUGAGCAAAGCUGCCCGGGUGACGGGUGAGGGAGUGGGGUGAACGUGGCGCUGCUCGUCUCUGAGGCUACGCGCUUGGGGGAGGGAAAAGAAAGGGGAAGGGCGAUGGAACGGAAAGAUGCAAGUAUCUUCUUUAUGCGGCGGCACCGCGGGACCUCACUUCUUAUGAUAGUCUACGCGCUUGCACGUAUGUAUGUGUGUGUGUGUGUCGAUGACGCAACUCUUUCCUGCUGCCUCUGGCGUCCUUUCUUUGUCUGCUCGAAUGCCUGAGGCUCAUGCGACUAUGCGAAGCGGUUCCUCUGCCUCGCGGUUGCCGGCCAACCCCCCUCUAUUCGGACCAGCCCAAUACUUUUUUUUCUUGUGGUGUGUGGUUUUCUCCCUAAUGGCACAGGGAUAGGAGGCGGUGGUGGGGAGUGGAGGGGGUGGUGCUGCCGCUCACGCCUCUCAGCGCGUGGUAUAUCAGGGCCCAGUAAUGCCGCUCUCUCUGGGUGGGUGGGGGUUGAGCAGCUUCUCCAUAUCCUUGCCAAUGCCAAACCCAUUUCAGGUGUUGACAGGGUCAAGUGCCUGCGGCUUAGGGAGCCCAGGGCGAUGUAUCCGUACUCAUGCCAGCCGCUAUGUGCAUGGAGCUGCAUCGGAGAAACCUGCGACAGUGAGCGCGUUGCUAUCAUUUCUACGACGAGGCAGAGUGUCAGCGCGACUCGAUCGUAUCUCACCCUCGGCCCUCGCUGCCUACUGGUGUGGGGAGCGUGCGUGUCACCCCCCGAGGGGAGGGGAUGCACCAGGUGGCGAUCGGCAUGGCGGGAAGCGGCUAUGAGGCGACCUGCGAAGCGUGGGUGGGCGGGUGAGUUGUACUUGGGACAGGGGGCGCGCUCCGAUGACUGAGUCUGCGCAACGCUGCACCACGUGUCUAGCGCUGCUUUGCAUCAUGCGGGUGGGGUCUGUGCCAGGACCUGGUGGUUGUGAUGGUAGAGUGGAGUGGUGUGGCGUUCGAACGGAUGCGCUAUGGCAGGAAGGAGACGCGCCGAGGGGAAGACACGGGAGAAAAGGGUCUUUGCCUUUUGUGUGCUCCUGAAGCGCCUGCGCACGCCCUUCCCCCUUCAUACAGCGCUAAGUAGCAAAUACAGGAGACAAAACCAAGUAACGCAACACUGCAUGAUGCAAGCGUCAGCCAGAGCCGAAAC